rnacentral:lncRNA from 1 species
CGGUAUGGUUGACCAAGUGUAUUGACAAUAAUUUUUUCUAAUUCUUUUCCUUAUCAAUGAUUUUUUUUUAUUUUUUUUUUGGGGGAAAUCUGAAUGUAGUUUAUUGUUAAAAGAUUGAGGAAAAAAAAAUAUUAGGUCUGGGAAAUGUUCCAAGCCGAAAUUAUCAAACUGGACAUACUAAUAUGGUUUUAAGUUGUUAAGUUGGAAGCAUACAUUCUAAUAUGAUAUCAAUCUAUCAGAGCCCGGUCCGCACAUACUCAACCCAAUCCACAAUCGGUCUGACCCAUAGUUGAUCCACCGAUUCAUGCCUGAACAUACCGAGAUCUAUGGCCAUAAGAGUCACCAUCUCGAGGUGGCGUAUUAGGGAUACAAUAUCUCACAUGGAAGUUGAGUAGGAUCAUGAGUAGUAUAUAAGAUAUAUGAGCCUCUCCACUCAUUGCCAAUUGGUUUUAAGUUGGAAACCCACAAUCUAAUAUAUAGAACACAAAAUUAAGAAAGAAAAAAAAACAAUUACUGAUUCAAAGAAACAAAAGAAAAUAUGUAGAAGAAGAAUUAAUCACUGAGAACAAGAACAUGUGCGUU